CGAAAGCCUGACGGAGCAACGCCGCGUGUGGGAAGAAGGCUCUUGGGCUGUCAACCACUUUUCUCAGGGAAGAAGUCCUGACGGUACCUGAGGAAUCAGCCUCGGCUAACUCCGUGCCAGCAGCCGCGGUAAUACGGAGGAGGCAAGCGUUAUCCGGAAUUAUUGGGCGUAAAGCGUCCGCAGGCGGUUUAUUAAGUCUGUUGUUAAAGCCCACAGCUCAACUGUGGAUCGGCAAUGGAAACUGAUGGACUUGAGUGCGGUAGGGGUAGAGGGAAUUCCCGGUGUAGCGGUGAAAUGCGUAGAUAUCGGGAAGAACACCAGUGGCGAAGGCGCUCUACUGGGCCGCAACUGACGCUGAGGGACGAAAGCUAGGGGAGCG
rnacentral:rRNA from 1 species